rnacentral:lncRNA from 1 species
UUCUAAGGCACAUUUGCCCUUCUCCAAUCGCCUCUCCUCUGCCACUAAUUUUGAGCGGGUGAGAGGGCUGAACCAUCAGCACCCCAUCUUUGAUGGUAUCCUCACCCUCAGCUUUGCUAAUAGGAAUCACAGAGUACUGGAAGGAAGUUUUUAAUGACUCUUCAUGUGGCUCUUAAGCUUGUCACAGUGUGGAGGGAUUCAGAGACUAUAAGUGACUUCCUGGAAGAACAUCAAGGUCUGAAAUGAAAUGACCUCCUCAGAGUAAAGGAAGAACACUGGGAUUGUAACAGAGGAAUGAAGAGGAUGAGAAAACCCACUCGGCUUCUCACAGCUACUCCAUUUAUAUAUUCCUUCUUGGCAUAUGAGAAGACCUUCAACUUCCUAUGUGUGAAAAACAGCCACUCUGAUGAGGUGUUGAUAAGUUUGAAGCACUACCUGAGACUAAUAGAAAUGAUUAAUAGUGAUAGAUCACUCUCCACACUCACUCAGAUAACAGCAUCUCUCUUGGGGUGGUUGACAAUCCAAUUGUGGUGGGGUGCAAAGAGGCCUAAAGCACAUUUCAUUAGUUAUCAACUGGGGCACUCUGUCUCAUCCUUUAAAAGCACACAUACAAACAAAAACCACCUGACAGGAAAAAGGAAAAGCGUGUGCAGUACUUGUCAGAAAUCAGCACAGGCAUAA